GACAGAGGAUGCAGACGUUGCUCGGAAUUACUGGGCGUAAAGCGUGCGUAGACGGUUAUGUAAGUCAGAUGUGAAAGCCCCGGGCUCAACCUGGGAAUUGCAUUUGAGACUGCAUAGCUAGGGUGCGGAAGAGGGAAGCGGAAUUUCCGGUGUAGCGGUGAAAUGCGUAGAUAUCGGAAGGAACACCAGUGGCGAAAGCGGCUUCCUGGUCCAGCACCGACGUUCAGGCACGAAAGCGUGGGGAGCAAACAGG
rnacentral:rRNA from 1 species